GAAAAUAAUGUCCCAGUUCAGAUUGCAGGCUGCAACUCGCCUGCAUGAAGUCGGAAUUGCUAGUAAUCGCAGAUCAGCAUGCUGUGGUGAAUACGUUCCCGGGCCUUGUACACACCGCCCGUCACACCAUGGGAGUCGGAAAUGCCCGAAGCCAGUGACCCAACUGCAAAGAGGGAGCUGUCGAAGGCAGGCCUGAUAACUGGGGUGAAGUCGUAACAAGGUAGC
rnacentral:rRNA from 1 species